GGACUACUAGGGUUUCUAAUCCCGUUCGCUCCCCUAGCUUUCGCGCCUCAGCGUCAGAUGAGAUCCAGUCCGCCGCUUUCGCCACCGGCGUUCCUUCCGAUAUCUACGCAUUUCACCGCUCCACCGGAAGUUCCGCAGACCCCUAUCUCCCUCGAGACUUGCAGUAUCAAAGGCUGUUCUCCGGUUGAGCCGGAGGAUUUCACCCCUGACUUACAAGCCCGCCUACGCGCCCUUUAAGCCCAGUGAAUCCGAACAACGUUCGCACGGUUCGUCUUACCGCGGCUGCUGGCAC
rnacentral:rRNA from 2 species